AUUGAACGCUGGCGGCAGGCCUAACACAUGCAAGUCGAGCGGAUGAGUGGAGCUUGCUCCAUGAUUCAGCGGCGGACGGGUGAGUAAUGCCUAGGAAUCUGCCUGGUAGUGGGGGACAACGUUUCGAAAGGAACGCUAAUACCGCAUACGUCCUACGGGAGAAAGUGGGGGAUCUUCGGACCUCACGCUACCAGAUGAGCCUAGGUCGGAUGAGCUAGUUGGUGAGGUAAAGGCUCACCAAGGCGACGAUCCGUAACUGGUCUGAGAGGAGGAUCAGUCACACUGGAACUGAGACACGGUCCAGACUCCUACGGGAGGCAGCAGUGGGGAAUAUUGGACAAUGGGCGAAAGCCUGAUCCAGCCAUGCCGCGUGUGUGAAGAAGGUCUUCGGAUUGUAAAGCACUUUAAGUUGGGAGGAAGGGCAGUAAGUUACUACCUUGCUGUUUUGACGUUACCAACAGAAUAAGCACCGGCUAACUUCGUGCCAGCAGCCGCCGUAAUAC
rnacentral:rRNA from 1 species